CCUACGGGCGGCAGCAGUGGGGAAUAUUGGACAAUGGGCGAAAGCCUGAUCCAGCCAUGCCGCGUGUGUGAAGAAGGCCUUCGGGUUGUAAAGCACUUUCAGUGGGGAAGAAAGCCUUGGGGCUAAUACCCUCGAGGAAGGACAUCACCCACAGAAGAAGCACCGGCUAACUCCGUGCCAGCAGCCGCGGUAAUACGGAGGGUGCGAGCGUUAAUCGGAAUUACUGGGCGUAAAGCGCGCGUAGGCGGUCUGAUAAGCCGGUUGUGAAAGCCCCGGGCUCACCCUGGGAACGGCAUCCGGAACUGUCAGGCUAGAGUGCAGGAGAGGAAGGUAGAAUUCCCGGUGUAGCGGUGAAAUGCGUAGAGAUCGGGAGGAAUACCAGUGGCGAAGGCGGCCUUCUGGACUGACACUGACGCUGAGGUGCGAAAGCGUGGGUAGCAAACAGGAUUAGAUACCCCGGUAGUC
rnacentral:rRNA from 1 species